GUGAACGCUGGCGGUAGGCCUAACACAUGCCAGUCGCACGGCAGCACAGUAAGAGCUUGCUCUUACGGGUGGCGAGUGGCGGACGGGUGCGGAAUACAUCGGAAUCUACUUUUUCGUGGGGGAUAACGUAGGGAAACUUACGCUAAUACCGCAUACGACCUACGGGUGAAAGCAGGGGAUCUUCGGACCUUGCGCGAUUGAAUGAGCCGAUGUCGGAUUAGCUAGUUGGCGGGGUAAAGGCCCAACAAGGCGACGAUCCGUAGCUGGUCUGAGAGGAUGAUCAGCCACACUGGAGCGGGGACACGGACCAGACUCCUACGGGAGGCAGCAGUGGGGAAUAUUGGACAAUGGGGGGAAGCCUGAUCCAGCCAUACCGCGUGGGUUGAGAAGGCCUUCGGGUUGUAAAGCCCUUUUGUUGGGAAAGAAAAGCAGCAGGUUAAUACCCCGCUGUUCUGACGGUACCCAAAGAAUAAGCACCGGCUAACUUCGUG
rnacentral:rRNA from 1 species